AACGAACGCUGGCGGCGCGCCUAACACAUGCAAGUCGAGGGAGAAAAGGGGCUUCGGCUCCUGAGUAAACCGGCGCACGGGUGAGUAACACGUAGGUAACGUACCUGGGAGUCCGGGCUAACCAGUCGAACGACUAGCUAAUACCGGAUACGACUGCGGAGGCUCUGGCUUCUGCAGUGAAAGAUUGCCUCUAUUUAUAAGCUAUCACUCCUUGAUCGGCCUGCGCACCAUUAGCUAGUUGGUGAGGUAAUGGCUCACCAAGGCUGAGAUGGUUAGCUCGUCUGAGAGGAUGGCCAGCCACACUGGGACUGAGACACGGCCCAGACUCCUACGGGAGGCAGCAGUGGGGAAUAUUGCGCAAUGGGGGAAACCCUGACGCAGCGACGCCGCGGGGGUGAUGAAGGCCUUCGGGUCGUAAAGCCCUGUCGGGAGGGAAGAAACAAUUCGGGGCUAAUAUCCCCGGGUAUUGACGGUACCUCCUAAGGAAGCACCGGCUAACUCUGUGCCAGCAGCCGCGGUAAGAC
rnacentral:rRNA from 1 species